UACAGAGGUGGCAAACGUUGUUCGGAUUUACUGGGCGUAAAGGGCGCGUAGGCGGCUUAACAAGUCACUUGUGAAAUCUCCGGGCUUAACUCGGAACGGCCAAGUGAAACUGUCAAGCUAGAGUGCGGAAGGGGCAAUCGGAAUUCUUGGUGUAGCGGUGAAAUGCGUAGAUAUCAAGAGGAACACCUGAGGUGAAGACGGGUUGCUGG
rnacentral:rRNA from 1 species